UGAGACGACUCAUCAGCCUGACAAGAUUAACUUAAAUCCCAACGAGAUUUACAUUCAAACAGAGCCUGAAAAGAUGAACUCAUGCCGUUUUCCGAGACACCUUAUCUGCCACUCGUUUACAUUUAGAACAGAUGCAUGCAUGUUUGAUUGAAUUUAAUGUUAAUGUCUCUCCGGGUAACCUGGUUCAUUUUAAGAUAAGAUAAGAUAAGAUAAUCCUUUAUUUAUCUCACAACAGGGAAAUUUACAUUGUUACAGCAGCAAAGAGCAAAGAUUGCAAACAAAAAGUGAACACAGUGCAAUUUAAAUAAAAAAAAGAAAAAUUAAGAAUGUACUAAAAAAUUGAUUUAAAAAAAAAAAAAAUAGAUCAGAUGAGCUGCAGUUUUGACAAAAAUGCAUACAUACAGUAAAAAAAAUGUUGUUCUAAAGAAAAGCAAAGGCCUGUUUGGUAACUGGGAUGCUACCUGGAGUUCAGGAGGUCAGAUUCGGCCUCUUCCUCCACCAUCACUUUGGCAUUUUGCCCAGUUUGGGUGCAGCUGGCAUUCUCUGUUACUCUCUAACACACAAGCAUAUUCCAUACACACACUAACUACUGGCCCGGCUUUCCCCACAGUUCAGGUAACAGCCGCUUGGACUUGGCAGCUGCUGCUUUCACUCAACGGAAAGCAGAGCGACCAUGAGGGGAGGGAGAGAAGUGCGAACGAGCGAGGGAGGGGAGGACGAGAGUCGGGCUGGGGGAGACGUGAAGACAGGAGGGAAGAGAUAACACGUCCGAGCGGCUCAACAGCCCUGAGCUCAGCCGCUGAUGAUGGACGAUGAAGUCUUGAAGAAGGAGUUCCACUUCAUCCCAAAGAUGUCGGACCAGGUUGAUUGUGAGACGGAGAGUCAAGUUCUUCCAUACCAAAGUGUCUCCUCGUCAACAUGUGCUUUGUCCAGGGGAGCACUGAGAUGAAGCUACAGGAGAGGAAGAAACAUCUGUUCCCUCAAAGUUAGGAGCUCGCCAUUUGUCUGACUGACACACAAGGGAAGGGCUUAAAAUAAACAUGCUUAAAUAAACACAUCAGAAAACUUGAACAAAAACAGCAUCCAGAUAAAAAGGCUAACAGAAAUCAAGCUUUUCACUGAUGAGGUCAGAAUCAGGAGAGAACCAGAGAGGAGGGUCACUGGAAGACCUUCGAUAAGGGGGGACAUGGAGAAGAUUUGGGAACCAUUUUUAGAUAACAUGAUAUUCUUACUAAAAGUUGAUACUGUUAACUCUGUAACAUCAAGAGAAAUCACUCGUUGGUAAAAGUAUUAAUGCCUGUGGCCGAGUGGUUCAUGGCUGCACCCCAUGUACAGAGGCUGUAGUCCUCGAAGCGGAUGCACCCCCCCGGUUCAAAUCCAACCUGGGGCUACUGCAUGUCCCCCCCCCCCUCUCUCCCUGAUUUCCAGAUCUAUCCACUAUAUCUCUACAAAAAAGGUCCCCCAAAAAAUCUAGAAUAAAAAGGUAUUAAUGAAACACAUAAUUGGGGUUUGCAGGUCGGCAUUAUUUAUUUAUUUAUUAAAAAGUUAUUUAGGUUAUUCAGGUUGAGAAGCUCUCAUCAAAGAACAGUGGACACACAUCUGUAUCAACAUGCUGAAGGCCAACAUUUUCACUUGUUUUUUUAACUUAUUUAUUUAGUGUUUUUUACUGUUUUAAAUCUGAGGAUUUUGUGCUUUGUCUUUUUUUGAUUUUCUGUCUUUGUGAAGCACUUUGAAACAUUCUCUGAAUGGUUACCGUCAUCAGCAGAUAAUAAACACACAGAGAGUAUUUGAUGUUGUACAGUUGAAAUAUAUCGAAGGGAAUGUGUGAUCCGCUGCAUUAAGUACAGAGUGAUACUUCAAAGUCGUCUUUGUCUGCCAGUUUGGAGACACAUGACACUGUGCCUGCAUGUGUGGGAGCAGAAUAAAAAAGCUGACUGAUUCUUAUUGAUGCCAACAUUCAGAAGGAAAAAAAAAUCCCACUGUUCUCGCAUUCAUGUGGAUGGAGGCAAAGUUUCACUUGAUCUGAAUGUAAAUGUGAAAUCACUGUAUGCCAAGACAAUCUGCACCCAGGUGGGAAACACUUAAUGCUAAUUAAGCACAUUUGCAACACA